UACGGAAGGUCCAGGCGUUAUCCGGAUUUAUUGGGUUUAAAGGGAGCGUAGGCCGUCUGUUAAGCGUGUUGUGAAAUGUAGAUGCUCAACAUCUGAAUUGCAGCGCGAACUGGCAGACUUGAGUGUGCGCAACGUAGGCGGAAUUCGUGGUGUAGCGGUGAAAUGCUUAGAUAUCACGAAGAACUCCGAUUGCGAAGGCAGCUUACGGGAGCACAACUGACGCUGAAGCUCGAAAGUGCGGGUAUCGAACAGG
rnacentral:ncRNA from 5 species